UUCCGGUUGAUCCUGCCGGACCCGACUGCUAUUUGGGUGAGGAUAAGCCAUGCGAGUUGAAUGGGAAACCUAAAAAUCCCAUGGCAAACUGCUCAGUAACACAUGAUCAACUUACCCUAUAGAGGAAAAUAACCUCGGGAAACUGGGGAUAAUGUUCCAUAGUUGAAUCGGCUUGGAAAAGUUUUUCAAUAAAAGGGAUAAGGAAAAUGGUCCUUAUCUGCUAUAGGAUAGGAUCGUGCUCGAUUAUGGUUGUUGGUGAGGUAAAGGCUCACCAAGCCGAUAAUCGAUAGGGGCCGUGAGAGCGGGAGCCCCGAGAUGGGUACUGAGACAACGACCCAGGCCUUACGAGGCGCAGCAGGCGCGAAACCUCCGCAAUACACGAAAGUGUGACGGGGUUACCCAAAGUGUUCUAUUUAGAACUGUGGUAGGUGAGUAAUGUCCCCUACUAGAAAGGAGAGGGCAAGGCUGGUGCCAGCCGCCGCGGUAAAACCAGCACUUCAAGUGGUCGGGAUAAUUAUUGGGCUUAAAGUGUCCGUAGCCGGUUUAGUAAGUUCCUGGUAAAAUCGGGUAGCUUAACUAUCUAUAUGCUAGGAACACUACUAUACUAGAGGGCGGGAGAGGUCUGAGGUACUACAGGGGUAGGGGUGAAAUCUUAUAAUCCUUGUAGGACCACCAGUGGCGAAGGCGUCAGACUGGAACGCGCCUGACGGUGAGGGACGAAAGCCAGGGGAGCGAACCGGAUUAGAUACCCGGGUAGUCCUGGCCGUAAACGAUGCAUACUAGUGAUGGCACGGCCAUGAGCCGUGUCAGUGCCGUAGGGAAACCGUUAAGUGUGCCGCCUGGGAAGUACGGUCGCAAGGCUAAAACUUAAAGGAAUUGGCGGGGGAGCACACAGGGGUGAAGCCUGCGGUCAUGGAUCACGCGGU
rnacentral:rRNA from 1 species